UGCGCUGUCACGAGAACCGCGGCUGGGAGUGUGGCGAAAGUGCGGCUGCGGAAGCGCAGCGAGACCCGGGUGGAGGAAGCGAGCGUCGCUGCCCGGUUGCGGGGUUCCUGGCACCAUGGGCCGCCUGCACUGCACGCAGGACCCGGUGCCCGAGGCCGUGCGCGGAGACAUGCAGCAGCUGAACCAGCUGGGCGCUCAGCAGUUCUCCGACCUGACAGAAGUGCUUUUCCAUUUCCUAACUGAGCCCAAAGAGGUGGAGCGAUUUCUGGCUCAGCUCUCUGAAUUUGCCACCAGCAAUCAGAUCAGUCUUGGCCCCCUCAAAAGCAUCAUGAAAAGCCUCCUACUGGUUCCAAAUGGUGCACUGAAGAAAGGCCUCACUGCCGAGCAGGUGCGGACUGAUCUCCAGACGCUAGGUCUUAGCGAGGAGAAAGCCACUUACUUUUCUGAAAAGUGGAAGCAGAACGCCUCGACCCUUGCACAGUGGGCCAUGGGUCAGACCCUGAUGGUUAACCAGCUGAUUGAUAUGGAGUGGAGGUUUGGAGUGACGUCUGGGAGCAGUGAAUUAGAGAAAGUGGGAAGCAUAUUUUUACAGGUAAGUCUGUGGUCAGUGGCGAUGGGCAGGGUUUCAACCUGGUUAAAGGUUAUCCAAAGCUGGGCAUGGUGGCACAGGCUUAUAAACCCCCGAAAUCAAGAGGUUCGAACAUCAAAAGUUCAAGGUCAGUUUGGGCUUUGUGAGCCACUUUCUUGAAUUGUCUUGGUUUUGGUUUUUUGGUGGUGGUGGUGGUGGUGGUGUUUUGGUUUUUCAAGACAGGGUUUCUCUUGGGUAGUUCUUGGUGAGGUUCUCUUGGAACUCACUCUGUAGACCAGGCUGGCCUUGAACUCAGAAAUCCGCCUGCCUCUGCCUCCCGAGUGCUGGGAUUAAAGGCGUGCGCCACCACGCCCAGCUUGGUUUUUGUUCUAGUCAGUAUUCUAGCUGUGGAGACACCCUAACCGAGGCAGCUCAUAUAAGAACACAUUUAACUGAGGGCUCGCUCACAAGUUUCUCAUCGACAGUUAUCAUCAUGUCACUGUACAGGCAGAUGGAGUGCUGGAGGGGUAGCUGAGAAUGCUACAUCCUCGUCUAUAGGCCACAGGGAGAGAAAAAUGAGGCGGGAGGAGGGAAGGAGAGAGAGCAGACCCACUCUCAACAAGGUCAUAGCUCCUAGUCCUCCUAAUACUAUCAAAGUGUUGCACUUCUGCGACAAAGCAUUCGAAUAUAUGGGUCAGUGGCAGCCAUUUUCUUUCAAACCACUACAGGUUUGAUAUUGUCUUAAGUGAUAUUCCCCCCCUAAAGUGCCCUUUGUACCUCAGAACAGUGUGAUCAGCCGAGAGCAUGAUCCCCAACUCGCCUGCCUUCAGAUGAGCUCGUUUUGUUGUUAGCCACGCAAGUUCAGUUACUUCACAGGGCUGGGGACUGCCAGGAUUUCUUACCUUGGACAAUUCAGUCCACGUCAUAUAGCUGCUAAGAUAGAAGAAGCCCAGGACGGGGCUGGUAGGUAGCUUGGCGGGUGGGACGUUUUGGAACUUAAUUAGAUGAAAGGUUUGGAGGAAUUUCUUUUCUCAGCUGUCAUUUAAACGGUGCUAUUAUUAUUAUUGUUGUUGUUAUUAUUAUUAUUUAUUGUGUGAGAGAGAGAGAAAUGACGCGUCGUGGAUGUGGAGGUCAGAGGACAGCUUGCUGGAGUUGGUUCUCUUCUCCCACCUUUAUGUGGGUUCUGGGGGGACAAACCUGGGUCACCAGGCUACACACUGGGCCAUCUUGCUGGCCCAUCAUUUUAAUUUUAAAGUUAUUUAUUUAUCUUCUCCACCUUCUUCUCCCCUUUCCUUUUAGUUAAAGUUGGUGGUUAAGAAAGGAAAACAAACUGAAAAUUUGUAUAUGGAACUAACCUUGCCCCAGUUCUACAGCUUCCUGCACGAGAUGGAGAGAGUCCGAGCGAGCAUGGAGUGCCUCAGCUGACCCUGUUCCCGUUCCCUUGCCCCUGCCUCUUCCCUAGUGUCAGCCUACUCCAGGCUCCCAGCUGCCUUGAGAGGCCGCGGACAAAGAGCUUCUAAAACCAAGAGUCUCAGCGCUUGAGGAGUGCUGCCUGAUUCUUCUGCAAGCCCCACUGGGAGCCACCACCUCCGGCUCCUGGGUGACUUUACACCUAGAUGCUCCGAGAGCUACUGCAUCUGGGACUGUGUCCUUUCUCUGGGAGGCAGUCUUGUCACCUCCCAUCCAACAGUUCACAAACGGCUCAGUUCCUUCAUUCAGAUGGUUGGGUACGUGCUUGUGGCUGAGGAAGGGCGGGUGGUGUGGACAGUGUGUCAGGAGUGGUGUCACACGUGUCACACUGUUUGGAGGGGGAAGGGCAUUGCCAGCCACUGUCUGCCGAGUCGUCUGUGUAAAAGCCUGUGCUUAGUCUUCUCUGGAAAGAACUGAGGCCAGACGAUUUCUGUGUUUGUCUCUUUGGCUUUUGUGUUAUAAGGAGGCAGGCCUUUCGAGGCCAUCUUACAUUGUUUGGUUCCAGAAAACCAACCACCUUUUGGUUAAGUGGUAAAUUAAAAAGAAAAACAGUUUCUAAAGAAAAGCUCUGAAUCCACAAAAUGUCUUUCUCCAUGGUUUAAGAGUCAGCCGACCUGGGUGUAGCGGCAUAUACCUACAACCUUGGCCCUGCGGAGACAGAGACGGGAAGAUCACCAUAAGCUAGAGGUUAGCCAGAGCAGCAAAGUGAGAGCCUGUCUCAAACCAAGCCAGCCAUGGGGGCGAGACUGACGGCUCUGUGGUUAAGAGUGCUUCCUGCUCUUUGGGGAGUCCCUGGUUGCUCUGUUCACAGCAUCCACUUCUGGAAGCUCACAACAGCCUGUAACUCCAACCUCACAUCUUCUUAUCCAAGAGCAGGCAUACACAUGCCAUGAGUAUACACAUACACAUAUACACUCUGACACACAUUCAUUCAAUAAUGCAAAUGAAAUAAAUCUUCUUUAAAAGGCCACAGGGGGGCUGGUGAGAUGGCUCAGUGGGUAAGAGCACCCGACUGCUCUUCUGAAGGUCCCGAGUUCAAAUCCCAGCAACCACAUGGUGGCUCAUAAAAGGCCACAGGGUGUGGCAUAGCUCAGUUGGGAAAGUGUUUGCCUAACAUGCAUAAAACCUGGCGUGGGUUAUGUGGCCCCUUGUCUCAAAAGAAUAAAACCAGGGCCAGUGAGAUGACUUAGCAGGUAAAUACACCUACCCCGAUGCCCGAGUUCAACUCCCAGGAUCCACUUGGUGGAAGGAGACCACUGAUCCCCACAGGUGUAGUCUAACCUGUACACACCCGUGCACACCCAAGCAUGCCUACUAAGUAAAGACAUCAAAUUAAUAUAAAUAUCUUAAUUUUAGAUUUGGUUUUCAUGGUACACCUAUAAUAGCUUACAACCCUCUGUAAGUCCAGCUUCAGGGAAUUUAAUGCCUCUGGCCUCCAUGGAUACCUGCGCAAAUGCUCAUAAUUAAAGAUAAUAAAUCUCUAGCCUGAUUGCUUAAAUAUUCCGUUAAAAUUCUCUCUUUGGACCAUAGCUAAUCUCAUAAGAGAACUAGGGGCUUUCACCAAAAAGAGAAUGGUAACUUGUUGUUUGAAAAAGAAUGUAGUUAAGGCAUUUCUGGAUGGCUUGGUGCUCACUGUAUACCCAGGGCUGUCCUCAAACUCAUGACAAUCCUACCUUGCCCUCCAACAAAUGAGUGCUGGGAUUACAGGCAUGGACUCCACGCCUACUCUUUACAAGGGACCAAAUACAGGGCUUUCCUGCAUGUUAAGCAAAACACAGCUGUGUUCCCAGCCCAUAAAAGUUUUGUUGUUCUCACAUUUAUUUAUGUGGAGUUGGCUGAGUCAUGUUUAGGGCCUUGUGGAUUCAAGACAACCUUCAGGAUGUGCACUCUUCCUUCCAUCCAGCCGUCCGCAGCAGGAUAGGUCUGAGUAGACGUGAGGACCCCUUCCCACCUUUUUUUUUUUUAAAGAUUUAUUUAUUAUUAUACAUAAGUACACUGUAGCUGUUUUCAGACACACAGAAGAGGGCGUCAGAUCUCAUUAUGGAUGGUUGUGAGCCACCAUGUAGUUGCUGGGAUUUGAACUCAGAACCUUUGGAAGAGCAGUCAGUGCUCCUACCUGCUGAACCAUCUCACCAGCCCCCCUUCCCACCUUUUUCUAGCUAUUCACUGGAGGAGAUCUGCUAGUUCAUUCUGUAUUCUGGAGCUAUUUCUUGCAUUUGAAUCUAUGUGCAUAUCUUCUGUGUGUACUAUCUCACACAGACAGCAGCGUGUAUAAACACCAACCUGCACCUUGUUUUUUCCAGUUCACAUGGAGAUCUCUCUUUAUCAAAAGCAAGAGCCGCCUCAGCCUUUGCUUCCCCCAGUGAUUGAUCGGACCAGUUUCCUGCUGGUUUGAUACAAGGUCUUUUUGUAACACCCUGGAUGCUCUGAAAUUUGAAGAUUAAAGAUCUUCACCACCA